rnacentral:rRNA from 1 species
GACGAACCGUGCGAACGUUGUUCGGAUUCACUGGGCUUAAAGGGCGCGUAGGCGGAUGGUCAAGUCGGGGGUGAAAUCUUUCAGCUUAACUGGAAAAAUGCCUCCGAUACUGACUGUCUCGAGGGAGGUAGGGGCAUGUGGAACUUCCGGUGGAGCGGUGAAAUGCGUAGAUAUCGGAAGGAACGCCGGUGGCGAAAGCGACGUGCUGGACCUCUUCUGACGCUGAGGCGCGAAAGCUAGGGGAGCAAACGGG